rnacentral:rRNA from 1 species
UACGGAGGAGGCGAGCGUUAUCCGGAAUGAUUGGGCGUAAAGCGUCCGCAGGUGGCAAUGUAAGUCUGCUGUCAAAGCGUCUGGCUCAACCAGAUAAAGGCAGUGGAAACUACAUAGCUAGAGUAAGGUAGGGGUAGAGGGAAUUCCUGGUGUAGCGGUGAAAUGCGUAGAGAUCAGGAAGAACACCGGUGGCGAAAGCGCUCUGCUGGACCUUAACUGACACUGAGGGACGAAAGCUAGGGGAGCGAAUGGG